GCGAUGUUAUCCAAUGUUAAUCGAGAGCACGUCAUUCGUAAUGACGGGGUCACGUGUUCGAGUCACGUAAGCGGCACCA
rnacentral:tRNA from 1 species